UGCCCACUUCUCACUAUGUUAUUUGGAUUUUUAUCUUUAAAGAUCAUUCAAGUGGGGGCAAUGGAAAUACUCUAUUAAAACUCAACCAAAUUAUGUGUUUGUCUUGGAUCCUGUCAGAAGAAACAACU